GGGAACAACUGUCCAGACACACCCUGAAGCCCCAGCAAGUAACCAUGGACGUCAAGUCCUGGUACUUUGUUUAACCAUCAAGCAUUUGUUUAUUAAUGCCUAUGGUAGACCAGCCACUGUUUUGGAUGUUAGAGAUGUGGAGUGUAAUAAAGGCUUGAUAAACAUUAGCU